UCAUGACAGCUGUGCAUCUGGGGUCUGAACAGACACACAUAUACGGGCACUAACAUAUGUGUGGCUGCUAAUUAAACUGGUACAUUUUCCAACUGAAGUGGAUUUCGACACAUAAUGACGAGGCCAAACGAGGAGAGCGCCUGUUUUAAAGAGGGUGACACACAGUGCAGACACAUGCCUCAGAGUUAAUGAAUGGCUGUUCGUCCACCAGACCCUGUCUACUGUCAGGCCUUAACAAAGUGUGCACCAGAGUGCAGUAAACGCGAUUCAAUGGACGAUUAAAGAACAGGCAAAAACAAAACUAAGAGUCCUCAGCUGGUUUAUACAACAUAUCAACAUGUAGUGCGGUGUGGUCACAUGAAAUCUUUGUGACUGGAUGAGCUGUGGCCAUUUAACGCCUACAAAACUCAGCUGCUUCUUCAGCUGAAACUAAAAAUUCAGACACUUAACAAUGCACUGAACUGUGUUUCCAUGCAACAGCUGUUCUAUUCUGCACUGAAUGCUUUGUUAAUUCUCUGAUUAGGCAGCGCUUCUGCUUUUUAGCUCCAUUAGAAAUCUCUGACAGUAUUUUAGGCACAAUUAACACCUGUGAUGAAAAUGCAAACGGGUUUAGCUUUUAGACAGCACCCUUAUGUUUCAUGAAAAUGCACUAUUUUA